rnacentral:ncRNA from 2 species
CUACCGAAAGGCGCUGACGGGGCCAAAGCAGCCUGCUAAAGCCGAGGAAACCGGUGUGAAUCCGGUGCGGUCCCGCCACUGUGAUCGGGGACGGACACGUCCUGACCCGAGAGCCAGAUACUCACCGUCAGCGCUUCCUCACG